rnacentral:rRNA from 1 species
GACGAACGCUGGCGGCGUGCCUAAUACAUGCAAGUAGAACGCUGAAGGAGGAGCUUACUUCUCCGGAUGAGUUGCGAACGGGUGAGUAACGCGUAGGUAACCUGCCUGGUAGCGGGGGAUAACUAUUGGAAACGAUAGCUAAUACCGCAUAACAGUAGAUAUUGCAUGAUAUCUGCUUGAAAGGUGCAAUUGCAUCACUACCAGAUGGACCUGCGUUGUAUUAGCUAGUUGGUGAGGUAACGGCUCACCAAGGCGACGAUACAUAGCCGACCUGAGAGGGUGAUCGGCCACACUGGGACUGAGACACGGCCCAGACUCCUACGGGAGGCAGCAGUAGGGAAUCUUCGGCAAUGGACGGAAGUCUGACCGAGCAACGCCGCGUGAGUGAAGAAGGUUUUCGGAUCGUAAAGCUCUGUUGUAAGAGAAGAACGAGUGUGAGAGUGGAAAGUUCACACUGUGACGGUAUCUUACCAGAAAGGGACGGCUAACUACGUGCCAGCAGCCGCGGUAAUACGUAGGUCCCGAGCGUUGUCCGGAUUUAUUGGGCGUAAAGCGAGCGCAGGCGGUUAGAUAAGUCUGAAGUUAAAGGCUGUGGCUUAACCAUAGUACGCUUUGGAAACUGUUUAACUUGAGUGCAAGAGGGGAGAGUGGAAUUCCAUGUGUAGCGGUGAAAUGCGUAGAUAUAUGGAGGAACACCGGUGGCGAAAGCGGCUCUCUGGCUUGUAACUGACGCUGAGGCUCGAAAGCGUGGGGAGCAAACAGG